CAGCAGCCGCGGUAAUACGUAGGGGGCAAGCGUUAUCCGGAUUCAUUGGGCGUAAAGCGCUCGUAGGCGGUCUGUUAGGUCGGGAGUUAAAUCCGGGGGCUCAACCCCCGUUCGCUCCCGAUACCGGCAGACUUGAGUUUGGUAGGGGAAGGUGGAAUUCCUAGUGUAGCGGUGGAAUGCGCAGAUAUUAGGAAGAACACCAGUGGCGAAGGCGGCCUUCUGGGCCAUAACUGACGCUGAGGAGCGAAAGCUAGGGGAGCAAACAGGAUUAGAUACCCUGGUAGUCCUAGCCGUAAACGAUGGACACUAGGUGUGGGGGAAUAUUUCUUCCGUGCCGCAGCUAACGCAUUAAGUGUCCCGCCUGGGGAGUACGGCCGCAAGGCUAAAACUCAAAGGAAUUGACGGGGGCCAGCACAAGCAGCGGAGCAUGUGGUUUAAUUCGAAGCAACGCGAAGAACCUUACCAGGGCUUGACAUUUAGGUGAAGCGGCGGAAACGUCGUGGCCGAAAGGAGCCUAAACAGGUGGUGCAUGGCUGUCGUCAGCUCGUGUCGUGAGAUGUUAGGUUAAGUCCUGCAACGAGCGCAACCCUCGUCGUAUGUUGCCAGCGGUUAGGCCGGGCACCCAUACGAGACCGCCGGCGUCAAGCCGGAGGAAGGUGGGGACGACGUCAAGUCAUCAUGCCCCUUAUGUCCUGGGCUACACACGUGCUACAAUGGCCGGCACAAUGGGCUGCCAACCCGCGAGGGUGAGCGAAUCCCUAAAGCCGGUCCCAGUUCGGAUUGGAGGCUGCAACCCGCCUCCAUGAAGUCGGAGUUGCUAGUAAUCGCGGAUCAGCACGCCGCGGUGAAUGCGUUCCCGGGCCUUGUACACACCGCCCGUCACACCACCCGAGUCGAUUGCACCCGAAGUCGUCGGCCUAACCUUUUAGGAGGGAGACGCCGAAGGUGUGGUUGGUAAGGGGGGUGAAGUCGUAACAAGGUAGCCGU
rnacentral:rRNA from 1 species